rnacentral:rRNA from 1 species
AUUGAACGCUGGCGGCAUGCCUUACACAUGCAAGUCGAACGGCAACACGGUGGCUUGCACCUGUUGGCGAGUGGCGAACGGGUGAGUAAUACAUCGGAACAUGUCCUGUGGUUUGGGAUAGCCCGGCGAAAGCCGGAUUAAUACCGCAUACGAUCUACGUAUGAAAGCGGGGGACCUUCGGGGCUCCGGCUGUAGGGUUGGCCGCUGGCUGAUUAGCUAGUUUGUGGGGUGAAGGCCUACCACGGCGACGAUCAGUAGAUGGUCUGAGAGGGCGAACAGCCACACUGGGACUGAGACACGGCCCAGACUCCUACGGGAGGCCGCAGUGGGGAAUUUUGGACAAUGGGCGAAAGCCUGAUACAGCAAUGCCGCGUGUGUGAAGAAGGCCUUCGGGUUGUAAAGCACUCUUGUCCGGAAAGAAAUCCUUGGCUCUAAUACAGUCGGGGGAUGACGGUACCGGAAGAAUAAGCACCGGCUAACUACGUG